CCUACGGGAGGCAGCAGUGAGGAAUAUUGGUCAAUGGACGGAAGUCUGAACCAGCCAUGCCGCGUGCAGGAAGACGGCUCUAUGAGUUGUAAACUGCUUUUGUACAAGGGUAAACCUGAAUACGUGUAUUCAGCUGAAAGUACUGUACGAAUAAGGAUCGGCUAACUCCGUGCCAGCAGCCGCGGUAAUACGGAGGAUCCAAGCGUUAUCCGGAUUUAUUGGGGUUAAAUGGUGCGUAGGCGGAUGGAUAAGUUAGAGGUGAAAUGCCCGAGCUUAACUUGGGAACUGCCUCUAAUACUGUUGGUCUAGAGAGUAGAUGCGGUAGGCGGAAUGUAUGGUGUAGCGGUGAAAUGCUUAGAGAUCAUACAGAACACCGAUUGCGAAGGCAGCUUACCAAUCUAUAUCUGACGUUGAGGCACGAAAGCGUGGGGAGCAAACAGGAUUAGAUACCCUAGUAGUC
rnacentral:rRNA from 1 species